GGGGUUGUGGCUCAGCGGUAGAGCGCUCGCCUAGCACGUGCGAGUUCCAGGGUUCGAUCCUUAGCACCA
rnacentral:tRNA from 1 species